rnacentral:rRNA from 1 species
GACGAACGAUGGCGGCGUGCUUAACACAUGCAAGUCGAACGGAAAGGCCCUGCUUUUGUGGGGUGCUCGAGUGGCGAACGGGUGAGUAACACGUGAGUAACCUGCCCUUGACUUUGGGAUAACUUCAGGAAACUGGGGCUAAUACCGGAUAGGAGCUCCUGCUGCAUGGUGGGGGUUGGAAAGUUUCGGCGGUUGGGGAUGGACUCGCGGCUUAUCAGCUUGUUGGUGGGGUAGUGGCUUACCAAGGCUUUGACGGGUAGCCGGCCUGAGAGGGUGACCGGCAAAAUUGGACUGGGGAUCGGGCCCGGACGCCUACGGGGGGAAGGAGGGGGGAAUAUUGAAAAAGGGGGGGAAGCCGGAUGAAGAAACGCCGGGGGGGGGAUGAGGGCCUUGGGGUUGAAAACCGUUUUCGCCUGUGACGAAGCGGGGGUGAGGGAAAUGGGAAAAAAAGCACCGGCAAACUACGG